UAUUAACAUACAAUUAAAAUCACAUUUCAGUACAAGUAAAAUACCACCAUACACUUUAUUUAACAAUGUAAUGCGAAUUGCUAGUCCUUGAAAUUUACCAACUAUUUAGGAUAAUAAAGAAAUGCAGGUUAGUAGUUAUUACAAUCAAACUUGUAGUCAUAUUAGGUAUGUUUUCAAGGUUAAACAGAAGUAUAUUUUAGAUAGACAGGUCAUCUUCAAACACUUCAGAGAUCUACAGAACAUGGCAUUUAAGAUGUUUUAAUUACAGAUUUUUUUCUUUUUUUAUAACAGUGAGACAUGUCCACUCUUGGCAACCCCAAUAUGCUUCAGAGAAGAUGAUGGGAACUGAAGAAACUGCAUAUGGAGUUCACUUUCUUUGUGGCAAAAGCCACUGGGCAAGAAAAUGCCCUUGUAUUGACUGCUGACAGUAUACUAUCCAAAAUGGACAAGUAAGACACAGAAGAAAGGACUGCCAAUCUUUGCCAAGACAAGAGAAUGUGCAUGAAGAAAAAUGUUUCUCAGCCCAAGCCCAAGACACAGUUGGAUGCUCUUUCACCAUCUUGGACCACAUUUGUCCUUGCCAAGUGUCUCAGUUAGGGCCUCUACUGCUUUGAUAAAACACUAUGACCAAAAGAAAUCCAGGGACAGCUGGAAGAAACGUGUGAGUGA